rnacentral:rRNA from 1 species
GAUGAACGCUGGCGGCGUGCUUAACACAUGCAAGUCGAACGGAAAGGCCCAAGCUUGCUUGGGUCCUCGAGUGGCGAACGGGUGAGUAACACGUGGGUGAUCUGCCCUGCACUUCGGGAUAAGCCUGGGAAACUGGGUCUAAUACCGGAUAGGACCACUUCUUGGAUGUUGUGGUGGAAAGUUUUUUCGGUGUGGGAUGAGCUCGCGGCCUAUCAGCUUGUUGGUGGGGUAAUGGCCUACCAAGGCGUCGACGGGUAGCCGGCCUGAGAGGGUGUACGGCCACAUUGGGACUGAGAUACGGCCCAGACUCCUACGGGAGGCGGCAGUGGGGAAUAUUGCACAAUGGGCGCAAGCCUGAUGCAGCGACGCCGCGUGGGGGAUGACGGCCUUCGGGUUGUAAACUCCUUUCGCUAGGGACGAAGCGUUUUGUGACGGUACCUGGAGAAGAAGCACCGGCUAACUACGUG